GGCUAACUCCAGUGGUUGCAAGUCGCCAUUAAAAAAGGAGAAGAAGUAAAGGAAUGUUUGACAUUUUAGGACAGCACUACUUGGCACCCUUGGGAGCAGUGUAAAGACAAAGAAGGCGUGUAGAUGCGCCCCCUACUGGCUGGCAGGAGCAUGACACCCAAACAACAGAGCUGGUGUUGAGGAGCAGACUCACCGCCCAGAGCUUGCUUCAUGACAAAGUCCAUGUUGUGUUCCUCCACCACGUCUGCUCAGAGGAGGAGGAGGACGAUGCUUCACCUGCAGCAAGAGAAGGAGCCAACUACAAGUCGGAUGGAGGAGGAGAGGAACGAGGAGACAACCGAGGGAAAAGAAGGCGAAGAAGAAAGGAAAACAAUUAGAAGGAAAAAGAGAUUGAAUGAGAAGAGGAAGAAGGAAAAAAAACUGUCAAGAGAAAAAGAUGGAAUGUGAAAAUAAAGACCUCUG